AUUGAACGCUGGCGGCAGGCUUAACACAUGCAAGUCGAGCGAGCGGCGGACGGGUGAGUAAUGUCUGGGAAACUGCCUGAUGGUGGGGGGUAACUACUGGAAACGGUAGCUAAUACCGCAUACCCUCAGAUGUGCCCAGAUGUGAUUAGCUAGUAGGUGGGGUAAUGGCUCACCUAGGCGAAGAUCCCUAGCUGGUCUGAGAGGAUGACCAGCGAAACUGGAACUGAGAAACGGAGAAGAAGCGUAUGAGCGGCAGCAGGGGGGAAGAUUGCAGAACGGGCGAAAGCCUGCUGAAGCCAUGCCGCGUGUGUGAAGAAGGCCUUCGGGUUGCAAAGCACUUUCAGCGAGGAGGCGUUACUCGUAGAAGAAGCACCGGCUAACUCCGUUCUAGCAGCCGCGGUAAUAC
rnacentral:rRNA from 1 species